UUGUUGAGCAUCCAUGUAACCAGCAUCAACAAGAACUUUCUCUCUUUUGGCCAACUCAACAUCCUCAUCCACCAUCAUCUUCACUAAUUGCUCGAACCCGACUCUGGGCUUCCAACCCAAAACCUUUCUCGCCUUGCUCGAAUCUCCCUUUAGAUUAUCCACUUCUGUAGGCCUAAAGUAUCUCUUAUCAAUCACCACAUGAUCCUUCCAAUUCAAUCCAACGUAUCCGAAUGCCACCUCCAAGAACUCCUCCACCGUAUGCGACUCCUCCGUCGCCACCACGUAGUCGUCCGGCCUCUCUUGCUGCAGCAUCAUCCACAUUGCUUCCACGUAAUCCCCGGCAAAACCCCAGUCCCUGGAUGCCUGCGAAGUGCACAAAUAGCCACUUUUAGGACUGCUAUUUUAAGCAUUGCUGAAAUUAACAAAAAGUUCAAAAUUAAACUGCCUCUUCAAAUUUUUGGAACUUCGAGCUUUCCAGUUAAAACCGCUACUUGGUAACAUUCAUAUUUUUGAAAAAAUAACCAAUGUCCUGGAGUUUCAAAUCCCACUGGUGAAACCGAAACUGCAGGACAUUACAUUGACUAUUUUUAUAGUAUUCGAGCUGAAAAGUAGUACUAGUAUUUUUUAUUACAGAAGCUGAAAAGUUAAUAUUUUAAUGAAAAAUUUCCCCAUUUCUACCUGCAAAUUACCCAGAAACAGCUUGCUCUGUAGCCCAAUUUUGAUCCGACCAACAGCCCGAGUGAUCUUCCGGGUCACGAAGUUCUCGCCCCGCCUAGGGGAUUCAUGAUUGAAAAGAAUACCAUUACAGGCAAAGAUCCCAUAGGCUUCACGGUAAUUAACGGUGUACCAAUGCGCAGCACACUUGGAUACAGCGUAAGGCGAUCUAGGAUGAAACGGCGUAGUUUCGGACUGGGGCGGAGGAGUAGAUCCGAACAUUUCGGAUGAACCGGCUUGGUAAUACCGGAUGUGGGACCUACCAGUAGCGGAAAUGUGAGAACGGACAGCUUCGAGAAGACGGAGAGCACCGGUGGCGACGACGUCGGCGGUGUAAUCGG
rnacentral:lncRNA from 1 species